rnacentral:lncRNA from 1 species
AUAUAUACUUCUAGAUAAAGAGAUACAAUUUUCAAAAUAUAGUACUCAUCAAUACAUAGCAUAUGAGCAAAUGACACACACUAGAUGACUUAUUGAUACAUACUGUAAAUUUUUUUAAUACAUAUUUAGCAAUGACCUAAUAUACCUCUAUAGAUAAUUGAUAUAUAAUUUAUCAAAUUUAGUAUCCUCCUAUACACAGUGUAUGAUUAGUUGAUACACACCUAGUAAAAUAUCUAUUUGAUAUCCUAUAAUAAAUAUCUCUAAGUACAAUGAUACAC